rnacentral:rRNA from 1 species
UACGUAGGGGGCAAGCGUUGUCCGGAUUUAUUGGGCGUAAAGAGCGUGUAGGCGGCUAGAUAGGUCCGUUGUGAAAACUCGAGGCUCAACCUCGAGACGCCGAUGGAAACCAUCCAGCUAGAGUCCGGAAGAGGAGAGUGGAAUUCCCGGUGUAGUGGUGAAAUGCGUAGAGAUCGGGAGGAACACCAGAGGCGAAGGCGGCGACCUGGACAGUGACUGACACUCAACUGCGAAAGCGUGGGGAGCAAACAGG